rnacentral:rRNA from 1 species
AGCGAACGCUGGCGGCAGGCUUAACACAUGCAAGUCGAGCGGGCAUCCUUGUGGUGUCAGCGGCAGACGGGUGAGUAACGCGUGGGAACGUGCCCUUCGGUUCGGAAUAACUCAGGGAAACUUGAGCUAAUACCGGAUACGUGCGAGAGCAGAAAGGUUUAUCUGCCGAAGGAUCGGCCCGCGUCUGAUUAGCUAGUUGGUGAGGUUAUGGCUCACCAAGGCGACGAUCAGUAGCUGGUCUGAGAGGAUGAUCAGCCACCCUGGGACUGGAACACGGCCCGAACUCUUACGGAGGGCGGCAGGGGGGAUUAUUGGACACUGGGGCAACCCUGAUCCAGCCAUGCCGCGUGAGUGAUGACGGCCUUAGGGUUGUAAAGCUCUUUUCUCCGGGACGAUAAUGACGGUACCGGAGGAAUAAGCCCCGGCUAACUUCGUG